CGCGAGCCCGGAUGUGAGGUGGCCGCGGCAGUGCCGGGCCGAAAAGGGGGCCGUCGGGGCGCGCUGCCGGGGCGCCGGCUCCCGCGAGCGCUCGGAGGCGAGGAGUCUGCCCAGGAAGGGGAAGUGCGAGUGUGUUUGGGUGAAAAUGAACGUCAAGCGCUGAGUACCGAGCGCGGACACUCUGAAGGGGACACAGAAAUGCAAAUACCGCUUCCCUACCGCGUGAGCCUGGGGAGGAGCGGUUGUGCGGGGAGGAGCGGUCCGAAGAGGUUUGCCUGAUCACCUGGGAGCCUGCUCGGCAGGAUGAUCGCCGGCUCCUGUUUCCGUCCCGUCGGACCGCCUAGGUUUUGUGGGAAAUGACACAUGGGUGUGGAUGGUUUUUGUUUUUUUUUAAGGACCUACUUUCUUGGAGCUUAACUUUCUUGUGAAAUCAAGGGACUGGACACUGAUCACUAAGUUUUCUUCUUAUGAAUCUUGGCGACAGAGAAAAUUGUGAUGUGAACGUUUUUCUUUCCCUCUGUAAUACGAAAAAACCAUGCGUUUCUUACAAAUUGUAUUUUCUCUGCAAGCAAGAGGCAGAGGGAAGCAUUUGCAAAUGGGCCGAAUUUGCCUCCCAGCUCUACCACACCCUACAGGCUGUGGAGGAUUAGGACAUUUAUUUAUUCUUA